rnacentral:rRNA from 1 species
GAUGAACGCUGGCGGCGUGCUUAACACAUGCAAGUCGAACGGUGAAGGCGGAGCUUGCUCUGCUGGAUCAGUGGCGAACGGGUGAGUAACACGUGAGCAAUCUGCCCCUGACUCUGGGAUAAGCGCUGGAAACGGCGUCUAAUACUGGAUACGAGCUGCGAAGGCAUCUUCAGCAGCUGGAAAGAACUUCGGUCAGGGAUGAGCUCGCGGCCUAUCAGCUUGUUGGUGAGGUAACGGCUCACCAAGGCGUCGACGGGUAGCCGGCCUGAGAGGGUGACCGGCCACACUGGGACUGAGACACGGCCCAGACUCCUACGGGAGGCAGCAGUGGGGAAUAUUGCACAAUGGGCGAAAGCCUGAUGCAGCAACGCCGCGUGAGGGACGACGGCCUUCGGGUUGUAAACCUCUUUUAGCAGGGAAGAAGCGAAAGUAACGGUACCUGCAGAAAAAGCGCCGGCUAACUACGUG